GAUGAACGCUGGCGGCGUGCUUAACACAUGCAAGUCGAACGGUGAAGGCGGAGCUUGCUCUGCUGGAUCAGUGGCGAACGGGUGAGUAACACGUGAGCAAUCUGCCCCUGACUCUGGGAUAAGCGCUGGAAACGGCGUCUAAUACUGGAUACGAGCUGCGAAGGCAUCUUCAGCAGCUGGAAAGAACUUCGGUCAGGGAUGAGCUCGCGGCCUAUCAGCUUGUUGGUGAGGUAACGGCUCACCAAGGCGUCGACGGGUAGCCGGCCUGAGAGGGUGACCGGCCAACGGGGGAGGGAGACCCGGCCGAGCCCCCCCGGGGAGGAGGGGGGGGGGAAUUUUGCAAAAGGGGCGAAAGCCUGAUGAACGAAGGCCGGGUGGGGGACGACGCCCUUGGGGUUGAAAACCUUUUUUGGAAGGAAGAAAGGGAAGGUGGCGAUACCGGCAAAAAAAGCGCCGUCAAACUAUG
rnacentral:rRNA from 1 species